AGUGAACGCUGGCGGUAGGCCUAACACAUGCAAGUCGAACGGCAGCACAGUAAAAGCUUGCUCUUACGGGUGGCGAGUGGCGGACGGGUGCGUAAUACAUCGGAAUCUACUUUUUCGUGGGGGAUAACGUAGGGAAACUUACGCUAAUACCGCAUACGACCUACGGGUGAAAGCAGGGGAUCUUCGAACCUUUCGCGAUUGAAUGAGCCGAUGUCGGAUUAGCUAGUUGGCGGGGUAAAGGCCCACCAAGGCGACGAUCCGUAGCUGGUCUGAGAGGAUGAUCAGCCACACUGGAACUGAGACACGGUCCAGACUCCUACGGGAGGCAGCAGUGGGGAAUAUUGGACAAUGGGCGCAAGCCUGAUCCAGCCAUACCGCGUGGGUGAAGAAGGCCUUCGGGUUGUAAAGCCCUUUUGUUGGGAAAGAAAAGCAGCAGGUUAAUACCCCGCUGUUCUGACGGUACCCAAAGAAUAAGCACCGGCUAACUUCGUG
rnacentral:rRNA from 1 species